CUCCUUGGAAGUCUUCGUGUUGCAUCCCU
rnacentral:rRNA from 1 species